rnacentral:rRNA from 1 species
UACGUAGGGCGCAAGCGUUGUCCGGAAUUAUUGGGCGUAAAGAGCUCGUAGGCGGCUUGUCACGUCGGGUGUGAAAGCCCGGGGCUUAACCCCGGGUCUGCAUUCGAUACGGGCUAGCUAGAGUGUGGUAGGGGAGAUCGGAAUUCCUGGUGUAGCGGUGAAAUGCGCAGAUAUCGGGAGGAACACCAGUGGCGAAGGCGGCACUCUGGGCCGGAACUGACGCUGAGGAGCGAAAGCGUGGGGAGCGAACAGG